rnacentral:misc_RNA from 1 species
GUUUUUAGGGUUUAAAGUUUAUAAUUUAAGGUUUAAAAUUUAGAGUUUAUAUAGUUUAGAUUUUAGAAUUUUAGAUUUUUAGGGUUUAAAAUUUAAAUUUUUAGAAUUUUAAGUUUAGAGUUUUAGAAAUUAAAAUUUUAGGAUUAAUUGAGACAUGUUAUUAUUGGGUCAAGUAGCAUUACUCACAAUAUUGUGAAGUUGACAAUAAUGAUGAAGUCGAGCAUUUAAAAUUGAUAGAUGAUGAUAGGA